rnacentral:rRNA from 1 species
GCAAGGAAUUUUCCGCAAUGGGCGCAAGCCUGACGGAGCAACGCCGCGUGCGGGAUGACGCGUUUCGGCGUGUAAACCGCUGUUCGUGGGGACGAAGCACUGACGGUACCCACGGAGGAAGGCCCGGCUAACUACGUGCCAGCAGCCGCGGUAAUACGUAGGGGUCGAGCGUUGUCCGGAGUUACUGGGCGUAAAGCGCGUGCAGGUGGCUCAUUACGCCCGGCGUGAAAGCCCCCGGCUCAACCGGGGAGGGUCGUCGGGGACGGAUGGGCUUGAGGGUCGCAGGGGCUGGUGGAAUUCCCGGUGUAGUGGUGAAAUGCGUAGAGAUCGGGAGGAACACCCGUGGCGAAGGCGGCCAGCUGGGCGACACCUGACACUGAGACGCGAAGGCGUGGGGAGCGAACGGGAUUAGAAACCCCAGUAGUCC